AUUGAACGCUGGCGGCGUGCCUCAGACAUGCAAGUCGAACGCGAAAGUUUCCUUCGGGAAGCGAGUAGAGUGGCGUCCGGGUGAGUAACACGUAGGUAAUCUACCUUUGGGUGGGGAAUAACAACCGGAAACGGUUGCUAAUACCGCAUAAUGCAGCGGCACCACAUGGUGACAGUUGUUAAAGCGGGGGAUCGCAAGACCUCGCGCCUAAAGAGGAGCCUGCGGCGGAUUAGCUAGUGGUAAGGUAACGGCUUACCAAGGCAACGAUCCGUAGCCGGCCUGAGAGGGCGGUCGGCCACACUGACACUGAAAUACGGGUCAGACUCCUACGGGAGGCAGCA
rnacentral:rRNA from 1 species